rnacentral:rRNA from 1 species
CGUCAAGGCGGUUGGCAAAGUUGGUGGUGAAAUUUCAGGGCUCAACCCUGAAACUGCCUCCAAUACUGGUCGACUAGAGUGCGAGAGAGGAAGGUGGAAUUCCCGGUGUAGUAGUGAAAUGCGUAGAUAUCGGGAGGAACACCAGUGGCGAAGGCGGCCUUCUGGCUCGCAACUGACGCUGUAGCGCGAAAGCGUGGGGAGCGAACGGGAUUAGAUACCCCGGUAGUCCACGCCCUAAACGAUGUGUACUAGGUGUUGGGCGUAUUGACGCGCUCAGUGCCGCAGCUAACGCGAUAAGUACACCGCCUGGGGAGUACGGCCGCAAGGUUAAA